rnacentral:lncRNA from 10 species
GGCAGAGGUUGCAAUGCCCCGAGAUCACACCAAUGCAUUCCAGCCUGGGUGAGAGAGCGAGACUUUGUCUCAAAAAAAAAAAAUUUUUUUUUUGAAACAAAUGCUAUAUAAGACUAAUGAUUUAUUUCUGACAUCUAUUUUUAUCUUGGCUCUGUGCAAAAUUUUCUUAUUUUUCCAGCUGUAGUGAAAAUGCAAUUUACAAUUAAUUUUAAAAAUCUGAAGCUGCAAUAAGUGAACAAAUAUAUAUAUAUAUAUAUAUAUAUUUUUUUUUUUUUUAGAAGGGCUCUCACUCUGUGGCCCAGGCCGGAGUGCAGUGCUGCAAUCACAGUUCACUGCAGCAUCAAUCUCCCAGGCUCAGGUUAUCCUUCUGCCUCAGCCUCCUGGAUAGCUGGGAGUACAGGUACGUGCCACCAUAUCCAGCUAAUUUUUUGUAUUUUUUGUAGAGAAGAGGUUUUGUCAUGUUGCCAUGGCAGGUCUUGAGCUCCUGGGCUCAAGUGAUCCUCCUUCCUUGGCCUCUGUGAGCCACUGUGUCCAGCAACAAAUAAUUCUUUACAAGGGAACAAACCCUGUCUGGGUAUGGCGGCUCAUGCUUGUAAUCCUAGCACUUUCGGAGACUGAGCUGGGAGGAUUGCUUGAGAAAAAGAAUUAGAUAACAGCCUGGGCAACAUAGCAUAAUCCUGUCCCUAUUACUUAAAAGUCUAAAUAAAAGUCUGAAAAGCAGCAUUUCCCACCUAUUCUCUAUGAGGGAGCCUUCAUCUACAUAACAAGGUCUCCUUAGCUACACAGGAGGUAAGCUUCUUCCUUUCCUCUUCCCUAAUCUGUCUUGCCAUUAAACCUGACUUACCCACCAAACCCGGGAUUUUUUGGCCAGCCAAGUCUGCAUUCUUUCUUGGCCUCAGAAUGGUAAUAUAAGCUUUUUUGUCUUAUUGUUGGGUGGGUCUUCAUUCUGAAGGCUCCCAUAUAUACAUGUUAAAUAAAUUUGUAUGACUCUUCUCCUAUUAAUCCAAGUUCCAUGAUCUGAAAAAAUUUUUCCUGUCUUUUCACCUUAUUUUAUAAAAAAAGUGCAAGACCAUGUAUAUCUAAAAAUGAGCAUUUUUGUAUCUCAGAAAUCAAGAUAUUUUCCAUAUAUAACCAGAAAAUGGUAUUCAUAUUUAAAAAUGUCCUAAUAUCAACACAUUGAGGGAUAUUAAAACAUCAUUAAUAGCGUAAAGUGGAAUUCUGGAAGCUUAGCUUUGAAUACAUUUCAUUUUGUCUGUUAAACAUUGAAGAGAGUAUGUGGUGUUAGGAUAUGUAUUUGGUUUUCAUCUAGGGUAAUAAUGUUGGGUAUGUUAGGCCUCCGGGAAAGUCCUUGACCUUCUGCUGCCCUCCUUCCACUCUAAUGUUUCCCCACCUUUUUGAUUGUGGGUCUUAAAACCCUCCCAUGAGAGGGUCCCACUGACUUCAUGAAGUUUUUUCCUACAGAGUGUAGCCUUGGAAAUACUCAUUAUAUACCCUAUCUGUAGCUGUGUGUCUGAAGGUAGUUCCAGAAUAAACCAUGAGUGUGAGGAUUGCUUAAAUAACUUAUUUCUAAAUGCUGAAACAAAAAUUUCAGAUUUCCUUGUCUAACCAGAUGCAGAAAAGCAUAUGUUAUAGAUAAAGCAUCAGGACUCAAGCAGGCACCAAUGUCCCUGACUUUCAAAAUUAGUGGCCUUCCUGGCAUGUGAACACCCUUUGGGCCUGUGCUCCAGUGUCCUCUUUGGGGUGCUCCUUGGGCUCUUUGUGAAGCAUCAAGACACCCCCAUAGUCUAGGCCGAUGUCAGGCUCUCCAGUGUGUCCUGUUCAUCACCCUCAGCCUGCAUUUUCAUUGUCAUUGUCAUUGGCCAUUCCAACACUGUGUUUGCAUCCUGUGGAAAGUCACAUUUGGGGUCAAGUGAAUGGUGUUGUUUCUACUCUUUGGUGAAAAGUAUCAGGGUGUAUUUGGCCUUCAAGGGAGAAGGAUGAGGCAGGGGUUGGAUUCAGGUGCAUCCAACUCUUUCUUUUUUUCUUCUGGAGACAGAGUCUCGCUGUGUCGACUAGGCUGGAGAGUGCAAUGGUGUGAUCUCAGUUCACUGUAACCUCUGUCUCCAGGCUCAAGCCAUUCUCCUGCCUCAGCAUCCUGAUUAGCUGGGAUUACAGGCACACACCACGAUGCCCAGCUAGUUUUUGUAUUUUUAGUAGAGACAGGGUUUCACCAUGUUGACCAGGCUUGUCUUGAACUCCUGACCUCAAGUGAUCCACCCGCUUUGGACUAGCAAAGUGGUGGGAUUACAGGUGUGAGCCACUGUGCCUGAUCAGGUUUCACUGCCCUGUCUUCCCUGCUCUGAGUCACUUUGUGUGAUCUGACAAUCAACGACUCCACCCUUCACUGGUGUGGAUACAUUAUCUGGGACUGGGUGUGUCAUCUCCACACACAGACAGGGUUUGGUCAGUGGCUGAUGCUGCAUCUUGUGGUGCCUGGAUUUUGACCUUAGGGAGUUUGAAAUAAGCGUUCCUAAAGAGCAGCUUCAUUGGAACCUUAAAGGAAGUGACUGAAUUGCUCUAUGCCAUUGCAUAAUAUAUAAAAGAAACUUUUCCAUGUUGCUGUUAACUUUACACUGCUGAGAUAAGCAGGCUGUUGACAAGUUAACCUCAGCAGCACAUUAUCAGAGAAAGUUAGCCUCAGCAGCACAUUAUCAGCAGCACAUUAUCAGAGAAAUAUAAGACAGGCUUGUAUUUAGACAAUUUACACAAAUUUAUUAGCCUCCUAUGACUCAGUAAAGCAAUUUGAAAAAAUAUAGCUUUAUAAGGCAUAAACAAAUUUAUAUGUUUUAACUAAGGUACUUUCUGGUAAACAGUGCCUGUACAUUUUAGGAAAUAUUUUAGUCUUUAGAGAAUAAGUAAGGCAAAAACAGGUCCAGGAGUUUACAGAUGCCCUCCCCUCACCACAAGGCCAAGUCUUUUAUUGUUGGAGAGACAC